rnacentral:lncRNA from 10 species
CAGGACUCUCACACGGACAGAGGCAUCACCUCCCAAAAGAAGUCCGUGUCAUAAAGGGUCCCUUGGUUGUGGGGUUUAAUGACAUGAAACUAUUCUAUUCACCUCCAGGGCUAAGGAAGUAUCUUUUGAUUUAUUGCACUGUUCUAAACACUAUGUAAUUAGAUGAGCUUGGAACUCUGCAAGGGGGGCAGUUUGUAGUGCAGAUCCGUUUCCCACUGAAGUGCAUGGAGGCUGCAGGAGCGGAGGUGAAGGGGAUGGAGGUUUCUUCAAAGGCUGGUUCCCUAGCCACCUCCCCUCUCUCCUUCUACUUCCAUACGCCAGCAAGUCAUUUACCUGAAACUUCUCUCACCAAUGACUUCUUAAUUGCCCAAUGCAACAGCUUCUUUUCCUACUUGACAUUCUGCAUCGUGGUAUAUCAGGAGAGUAUCCUGUGGAUAAAUAAACAGGCUUCAGGAGCAGUAAGACCUUGAAUCCAGGAUCUACUCUUAUGAGCACUGUGAUAUGAAGUCUUGGAAAUCUAGGUUUCCUCAUCAGGAAAUGAAGAUAAUAUGAGCUCCUAUGUCAUGGGUUUCUCAUGAUGAUUAAAUAGAAUAAUAUGUGUAAACAGUCUGACAGUGCUUGGCACAAGGCCAGCUCUCAAUGUUUGGUUAUUGAUUUUAGUAUUGAGCUGGGUGUGGUUCAUGCCUGUGAUCCCAGCACUUUGGGAGGCCAAGGCAGGAAGAUCACUUGAGGCCAGCCGGGACAACAUAGAGAGACCUCAUCUCUACAAAAAAUUAAAACGUUAGCCAACCAUGGUGGCACAUGCCUAUAGUCUCAGCUACUCAGGAGGCUAAGACAAGAGACUCACUUAAGCCCAGGAGUUCAAGGAUACGGUGAGCCAUGAUUGCACCAUGCACUCCAGCCUGAGUAACAGAGCAAGACCCUGUCUCUUAAAAUAUAAAAAUCAUAAUUUUUUUAAAAAA